UCGCGGCUUAUCACCGGCAGUCCCCCUAGAGUGCCCAACUGAAUGAUGGCAACUAGGGGCGAGGGUUGCGCUCGUUGCGGGACUUAACCCAACAUCUCACGACACGAGCUGACGACAGCCAUGCAGCACCUGUGUUCCGGCCAGCCGAACUGAAGAGGAAUGUCUCCACUCCCCAUACCGGGCAUGUCAAGGCCUGGUAAGGUUCUUCGCGUUGCCUCGAAUUAAACCACAUGUUCCACCGCUUGUGCGGGUCCCCGUCAAUUCCUUUGAGUUUUAAUCUUGCGACCGUACUCCCCAGGCGGAGCGCUUAACGCGUUAGCUGCGCCACCGGGGGCAAGCCCCCAACGGCUAGCGCUCAUCGUUUACGGCGUGGACUUC
rnacentral:misc_RNA from 1 species